CGGGGAAUAUUGGGCAAUGGGCGAAAGCCUGACCCAGCGACGCCGCGUGGGUGAUGAAGGCCUUCGGGUUGUAAAACCCUUUCGUGCGGAAAGAAUAGUCCUGUAGCGAAUAACUACGGGAUUUGACGGUACCGCAGGAAGAAGCACCGGCUAACUCCGUGCCAGCAGCCGCGGUAAUACGGAGGGUGCAAGCGUUGUUCGGAAUUAUUGGGCGUAAAGGGCGUGUAGGUGGUUGUGAUAGUCAGAUGUGAAAUCCUUCGGCUCGACCGAAGAACUGCAUCUGGAACUUCAUAGCUCGAGUACAGGAGAGGGAAACGGAAUUCCCGGUGUAGAGGUGAAAUUCGUAGAUAUCGGGAGGAACACCAGUGGCGAAGGCGGUUUCCUGGCCUGGUACUGACGCUGAGGCGCGAAAGCGUGGGGAGCAAACAG
rnacentral:rRNA from 1 species